AAAUCUCUUACCUCUGUCGCCAUGAUGCCUCGAGGAUCUGUCCCGGUGCUGAAAUCCUCUCCACGCGUGGGACAGUAACAGAUGGAGAGAUGAAAGCGAUGGAGAGGGUGGAGCACCGUCAGAUUACGAGUGGAUAAGUGCAUAUGUGUCUCCCUUCAUGUGCGCGGAUACGCGGAGUCCUUUCAGAGAGUCGUGAGACCACCAGUGGAGCAGAUCACGUUCAUUUAAAGGACGUGAUCGUGCCAGAAACAGUUCAUAUGGAACGCUCUGGAAGAAGCAGUCAGUGCAUACCAUCAAUCAAUCCAAACAUGGAGUAUGUGCACUGAAGCACCACUGCCAACUUGAUGUGUGUUAUGAGUCAUUAAACCUGGAGCUGGAUCUUAUAUCAUGGAUUCGAAACAUUGAAUCCCUGAGAGAUUUUCAAGAGACCAAAUCUCCUCAUUGUUCUCGGAAGCAGCAUUUUUUAUUCCACCUAAUCAGCGCCGAAACCAUUGUGCACACUUAGCUGGUCUUUCUGCAGAAGCUUCUCCAUUCCACCAUAAUCCCUUUAAAAACUAAAAAAAGUGCUCCAACAGCAAAUGAAUGAUGGGAGAGGAAGGAAUGGAGCAGGAACAGCCAAAAUAAUAAUAACUCCCCCCUGCUCUGGAUUAACUUGUCAGACAUUCUCUUUCCUUCUGCGUCGCUCCAUCUUAUGAAAGAUCUGCCAACCUCUCGAUGCUUUGAAGUCAUGUCUGUUUUCCAAACUGUCAGAGCACAUCCCACCCUGCUUUGGCUCUUGUCUGCGCUCGGUGGGCCAAAAUCUGUGCGGCCUCAUUAUAGUGAAAUGGUCGAUAAUCACAGCAGCGUGAGCGCGGGGAAAUAAAACCAGGAAGCGAAUCGUGAUCCUGCUCUGUGAGCUGACAUGACUCUGUCCAAUGUUCCUGGCCAGCUAGAGACUACCAGAAUGAAAGACAAAGGUACAGUAUGUUGUCAUCCCAAACAUAUUUUCUUUACUCGCUGCCACCAUCUUUCCAUCUGGAGUGCACGCAGUAAUCAUGAAGGAAAUGAAAACCUUACUCAGGAGUGCCAUUAUUCACUGAUGUCAAACACGGCGAGGGGACGAUCUGACAGUUUGCCAGUUUUUAUAUCUGUUAAACAUCUGCUCCAGCAUAGCAAAUUAACUUUCUCAGAUGAUGUUUUUUGUAUAAUUAAGCAUGAAAAAAUGUUAAAAGGUUGUUUUGUGUGCAAAUGUUCCUGCCAAGAUUCCACAGCUGCCCUGAGCAUCCUCGCAAUAAUUUUUGAGGUGAUGUUUGCCUUGAAUAAGAGUUAAUGCUCUCAGCAGCAGCGAGUGAUUUUGUGAUUUACAGGAGGCCUGACCAGUUAAACAGGUUUUGAACGAUGAGGCUUCUGGGAGUGACUCAAAAUAAAAAAGGUCACUGAAACACAAGAGCAGGAGUUUUCAAACUGGGGUCCGGGGUUGCUUUGCCCCUGUGACGUGAUAAUUGUACAUUUAUGUAUGACUCACUUUGUACGAAUUCAUAUGAAUUAGCUUGUAAAAUAUGUACAAAUUCCAUACCUGUCAACCCUCCUGUUUUUUUUCCGGGAAUCUCCUGUAUUUUACCAUUCUAUUCACCUGUCAUCCCUUUUAAAUAUUUUCUCAUAUUUUACCAUUUUUUUCCAGCUAUCAUCCCGUUUAAAUAUUUUCUUGUAUUUCUCCCGUAUUUUACUAUUUUGUUCCGCUGUCAUCCUGUCUAAGUAUUUUACCCUAUUUCUCCCACAUUUUACCAUUCUGUUCCACUGUCAUCCCGUUUAAAUAUUUUCCUGUAUUUCUCCCGUAUUUUACCAUCUUUUUCCGCUGUCCUUUUGUUUAAAUAUUUUCCCGUAUUUCUCCCGUAUUUUGCCAUUCUGUUCCACUGUCAUCCUGUUUAAAUAUUUCCCCUUAUUUUUUUCCCGUAUUUUGCUAUUCUGUUCCGCUGUCAUCCCGUUUAAAUAUUUUCCUGUAUUUCUCCCGUAUUUUUCCAUUCUGUUCCGCUGUCAUCCCGUUUAAAGAGCACCUAUUAUGGGAUACACGUUUUUAAACAUCCUUUUGUGUGUAAGUGUGCAUUAGUACAUGCUAACGAUAUUCAAAAAGUACAUACCUCAAAGAAAACGAUGACGCGAGUUAUCGUCUCUAACGUUCGAGGACUACAAAAAACACUCGAGCCGUUUCUCAAAACCAAGUACGCCGAACUCGGACUUGUGUCCUUCGUAGUUCGAACUUGCAAGUUCAGACUCGGAAGAACGAACUCCUGACGCGAAAUGCAUUCUGGGAAACUUCGCUGUCAUAAGUCCACACAAGUCUCCUCUGAUGCAUCCUCGAUAAAAUGGGCGGAUCAAGAACACAUCCGGGGAUUUUAUGUGAACUUGGGCUUGAUGCGAACUUUGAAUUGGAAUAGUACUUGGGCCGCGACUGAUGACGUUUCACAAGUCCACAAGAACACAAGUACAGACAAGAACGCAUAUUGAGAAACGGCUUCGGAUUGUAGGCAACAGUUUACUUCCUGGGAUUAGUGACGUAGAUAAGACCAACAUUAUCAUAGUUCAGCCCUCUCUGCUUUGCUUGGGUACGCCCUCAAAGACGGGGAUGGGGUGGGGAGCGCCGAGUCAGAAGAGAGCUAAAAUGGUGGAGGUUGUGAGUCCCUGCUUUGACUCUGUUUGCAAACUCUUGUUUCAUCGUUUAAGCGAUUAAAUCUCUCGAGUAGAUGCUGUCUCUUUAGAUGCGAGGGCAAAAUAGCACUUUAUGGACUUCCACAGAGGACAUCAUGUUUAAUACGGUUCCGGAAAAAUCCAGUCAGAAGUUGUUCACGGAGUUUUCACAAUAACUGCUUCUCAUGAACCGAAGCUGGAUUUGCACGACGUCUCCUCUUGAAAGUUGGAUUACUGUCCACUUCUGGAUCACAGGCUAUUCGCAGCUGGACACAUCCUUCUACACUGUAUGCAAACAUGCAACAUCAUUACACACAGUACAAGGAGUCAGACUGGCAUAUGAGGAGCAAAGGAAGCCAGGCAGUAGCAUCGUUUCACAAUGUUUCCAUCACCAUCAUCAUUGGAUACCUUUGCCGUCCGUAGCCUGAGAUUUCAGAUUUGCAGCAAAAAAAUUUGAUUUUCUCAUUUAUUGGAAUGCUGUGCAGGUAUUUGUACCUUGCAGCCAUCCAUUACAAUGUCACCAAGCCGUAACAAAAGCAGGAGAGGGAAAGUACAAGGCUAUGUUCCCAAAACACACAAGUGACAUACCUUAUGUGGAGGAUGUGAUCAGGCUUGUGUUUGAUGAGGUAUUUGAAGAUAAGCUGAAGGAAGCUCCGAUUCCAAUGGACCUGGCAUCACAGUUUGAGAGACCUUCAAAGGAGGACGUGAUUGCAUGCCAUCUUCAGUGCAGGGGUCGUCGAAAGCCAAAAUUGUGACCGAUCUGAUCAGGAAGCUCCAAGCGUAUCUGGAGAACAACACACGACAGGAUGAUAACCUUAUAGUGUCGUCUUAAAUAGCACCAUGCUGACAAAGCUUUGAUAUGCCAUUUAUCUGAAUAGAUAGCUGUAAGAAGUGAAUUGAACAAUUUUUGAAAGAA